ACGCCUACGGGACGCCGCAGUAUUUCCUCUUCUUCCCUUUUCUCAAUCCUUACCGAGCAACGCCGCGUGAAUGAAGAAGGCCUUCGGGUUGUAAAAUUCUGUUAUAAGGGAAGAAAGGUGAUAGGAGGAAAUGACUAUCAAUUGACGGUACCUUAUGAGAAAGCCACGGCUAACUACGUGCCAGCAGCCGCGGUAAUACGUAGGUGGCAAGCGUUAUCCGGAAUUAUUGGGCGUAAAGAGCGCGCAGGUGGUUAAUUAAGUCUGAUGUGAAAGCCCACGGCUUAACCGUGGAGG
rnacentral:rRNA from 1 species